UAUCCAAAUUGAAGCUAUAAUCGGA
rnacentral:snRNA from 1 species